CUAAAAUACAUCAUUUAAUAUAAAUAAAAAAAACUAAAAACAUAAAAAAAAUAGCCGCCCAGUCGGGUGGGUCAAGGUCUAGUAGUUAUUAUUAAAUAACUUUUAGCUCAUGUGUUAUUAUCAAAAAUGCUAUUUCCUAUGUGGUAACACCACAAUCACUCUCACACCAUAUCUUUAAAGACCCCCUUUUUACUAGAUUAAUUACAUAUCUUGCCAUUGAACAUUAGAUUUUAAUUACUAUGAUAUAUUAUAUGCAUCCUCAUUAUUAGAUCUAGAAACCGGUUCUAUAGUGAAUGUUCACGAAAUUGAUUUGUCCUAUGCCCAAAAAAUUUUUGAUUUACCAUAUACCAUGUACGAUGAGGAACUCUCCAACACCUUUAUACUCUAUGAUUAUUAUUUUACAUAAAAUCGAGACAGCAUGAUAUAUUGGUCAUUUGCAUCAUGUAUACAAAC
rnacentral:lncRNA from 1 species